rnacentral:rRNA from 1 species
UACGUAGGGACCAAGCGUUGUUCGGAUUUACUGGGCGUAAGGGGCGCGUAGGCGGCAAAUUAAGUCAGCUGUGAAAUCUCCGAGCUUAACUCGGAACUGUCAGCUGAUACUGAUGUGCUAGAGUGCGGAAGGGGCAAUCGGAAUUCUUGGUGUAGCGGUGAAAUGCGUAGAUAUCAAGAGGAACACCUGAGGUGAAGACGGGUUGCUGGGCCGACACUGACGCUGAGUGCGCGAAAGCCAGGGGAGCAAACGGG